CCGAAGAAGCAGUGUUUAGGCUGACUGUAUCGCUGGGUAGGAACCUGCCCCCUACAGAGCAGGCGGAGUCUCUCCAGGCGGAAGGAACAGCCAGUGCAAAAGCCCUGAACUUGAAGAUCACUUGACCUGUGGCCAGGAAGAGGAUCAUUGUGGCGGGGGCUUAGUGAGGGGCAGCGAGAGAGCAAGAGCAGGGAGCUCUGAAGCUGGGAUGACCCUUCAGAUUUGUCAUUAGAUGCAGCUGCCUGAGGACGUGGGCAUGACUCGGCCUCCGAGGCAGUCCUCGAGGGGCUGACAGCGGAGGGCGGUAUUCCUAGCAGCGGGACACCGAGUCCAUCCCUGACCCUGAAGGGGGCUCUGCUCUGUGGACGCCCUGGGAGUGGCCAGGAUCGAGCUUCAACAGCGCCAUCGUGUGGCGAUAAUAAGUCACAACAGCCGUGAACUCAGGACUUCCGGUUACCUUUCUCGAUGGAGAAAGCGCCUCAGGGACUGGAGCCCACCAGGCUCCCCUGUCGACGGGAUUUUCCAGGUGGGUUCUUCACCACUUAGCGCCACCUGGGAAGCCCACUGUGAACAGAGAUCACCCUAAAUACUGAUCUGUAAAGACGUGAACUUCUGAAAUGGUGAAUAUCCUUCAUAAAGAUCUGAACUCAUACAAAGAAAAUUCUCCCCUGGAUUUUAAUUUUAUUAGACUUCCUGGAAAACUGUUUACAUAUACAACAGAGUUAAGGGUUCUUGGUGCAGAUAACUAUAAACAGAUUUUUCCUCUUUUAGAAAUUGUAAGGCGAGUGCGAAGAAAAAGAGAGCAAGCCGGGCAUUCAGGCAGAGAAAGAUUUAUUAUAGGAAGAAAGAAAGAAAGUGACUGGCUUUAGAGAGAAACAAGUGCUCUCUUUUUACAGCCAACCCUUCUUAUAUCCUAUCGAUGGGAAAUUGUGCCCUGGAGGGAGGGGGCCUCAGUUUAUCUUUAGCCCACAGCUGGGGUCUUGUGGUCACAUAGUCGAAGGGGUCUCACGGUUGGGUGGGCAUGUAGUCUUGAGAAACUGGCACCAGCAGGGAAAAACAGGAUGUCUCCCUAAGGAAAAAACAGGAUGCCCACCAGAGCAAUGUGGCCACUGUGACUUCAUCCCUUGGGCCAUUUUUAACUACAUGGUAUGAGCCCCUUGUGAACCCUAACAGAAAGAAUCAGUGGCACAUUAGAAAGCUGUGCAGGACAUGGAACUCUUCUCGGUAAUGUGGGCCUGUCUUGAACAUUGAAGAAUGUCUAGCACUGCUGGCCCCUGUCUGCUAAGGACCAGAAGAGCUCCUAUCAACGUGAUAAACAAAAAUGCCCCUACAAAUGUCCAAAUUCAAAUUCCCAGGGACAGUAGAUCUCCUUUUGAGACCUUUGGUGUAUGUGAAAGCCUAGCCAUCUAAGCUCUGCUUUAUUGGCCUGCUCUUUCUGAGCUCCCCUUCUCCACCAAAGACCGGGGCUUUCACACUCUCAUUUCUCAUCCCACCCUUUAGGACUCUCUCUGUAAAUAUUUGUUUGCUACUAGAAGGUUAGAACUGAUGUGAUAAACGAGGUGCAUUCCUAUCUUCUUCCUAUGUCUACAAAAAGGCUCAGGGCGGAUUCUGGUAAAAGAUGGCAGAGUAGAUGGGCGUGUGCUCAUCUCCUCCUGCAAGAGCACCAAAAUCACAACUAGCUGUUGAGCAACCAUCGACAGAAAGACACUGGAACCCACCAAAAAAGAUACUCCACGUCCAGAGAGAAAGAAGAAGCCACAGUGAGACGGUAGGAGGGGCACAAUCACAACAAAAUCAAAUCCCAUUCCUGCCGGCUGGGUGACCCACAAACUGGAGAACAGUAAUACCAAGACGUCCUCGCACUGUUGUGAAGGUUCUGAGCCCCACAUUACUUUGCCAACAAAGGUCCAUCUAUCAAAGGUAGACAGAGAUAAAAUAUUAAAAGCAACAAAGGAAAAACAACAAAUAAAGUACAAGGUAACUACCAUCAGGUUAUCUGCGGAUUUCUCAACACAAACGCUACAAGCCAGAAAGGAAUGGCAUGAUAUAUUUAAAGUGAUGAAAGGGAAGAAACUUCAAGUAAGAAUACUCUAUCCAGCAAGACUCUCCUUCAGAUUUAAUGGAG